rnacentral:lncRNA from 1 species
UGAAUUUCUCCGCCAGGUGGCUGCUGCAAAACAAAAGAAGCGAGCAUGCCUGAGACAGUGGUUACUAACCACUGAACACGGGAAUGAAUGCUGGUCUCAUGCUGGGAAACAGUUUGUAACGUGUUCAGACUGCAUGCUUUCCAAGUCUCCUGAGGACAGCGCGACUAGAAACAGUGCGAUUCAUGUAUGGUGAGGAGAAGGCUGAGCCUCAGUCACAGUGGAAAACUGCAUAUUGGAGAUACCAGUAGAGGGGGACGAGCAUCCAGGACAGCAGCCUGAGCACAGGAGACUAUCUAUGUAUGCUUCCAGGAGCAGAGCUGGGGAAGUGGAGCUGUCUAAGUCAGUCCUUGGGAGCCCAGGAGAUGGUGCGUCAAUUCCAAUGUGGGACACUAAGCGAGGCAGACUGCACGAGGUUGAAAGUAAAGCAAGUGAAAGAUCUGUUUGAUAAGAACUUAAAGUCUCUGAAGAAAGAAAUCAAAGAAGAUCUCAGAAGAUGGAAAGAUCUCCCAUGCUCAUGGAUUGGCAGGAUUAAUACAGUAAAAAUGGUCAUCUUGCUAAAAGUAAUCUACAGAUUCAAUGCAAUCCGUAUCAAAAUUCCAACUCAGUUCUUCAUAGAGUUAUAAAGAACAAUGUGAAAAUUCAUCUGGAAUAACAAAAAACCUCAGAUGGUGAAAACUAUUUUCAACAAUAAAGGAACUUCUGGUGGAAUCACCAUCACUGACCUCAAGCUGUACUACAGAGCAACUGUGAUAAAAACUACAUGGUAUUGGGAAAGUGACAGGCAGGUAGAUCAAUGGAAUAGAAUUGAAGACCCAGAAAUGAACCCACACACCUAUGGUCACUUGAUCUUUGACAAAGGAGCUAAAACCAUCCAAUGGAAAAAAGACAGCAUUUUCAACAAAUAGUGCUGUUCAACUAGUGGUUAACUUGUAGAAGGAUGAAAAUUGAUCCAUUCUUAUCUCCUUGUACAAAGCUCAAGUACAAGUGGAUCAAGGAACUCCACAUAAAACCAGAGACACUGAGGCUUAUAGAGGAGAAAGUGGGGAAGAGCCUUGAAGAUAUGGGCACAGGGGGAAAAUUCCUAAACAGAACAGCAAUGGCUUGUGCUGUGAAAUCAAGAAUCGAUAAGAGAGACCUCAUAAAAUUGCAAAGCUUCUGUAAGGCAAAUACACUGUCAAUAAGACAUAAAGGCAACCAACAGAUUGAGAAAAGAUCUUUACCACUCCUAAAUCUGAUAGAGGGCUAAUAACAAAUAACCCUAUUAAAAAUGGGGUACAGAGCUAAACAAAGAAUUCUCCAUUGAGGAAUACUGAAUGGCUGAGAAGCACCUAAAAAAAAUGUUCAACAUCCUUAUUUAUCAUGGAAAUGCAAAUCAAAACAACCCUGAUAUUCCACCUUACACCAGUCAGAAUGGCUAAGGUCAAAACCUCAGGUGACAGCAGAUGCUGGUGAAGAGGUAGAGAAAGAGGAAGACUCCUCCAUUGCUGGUGGGAUUGCAAGCUUGUACAACCACUCUGGAAAUCAGUUUGGUGAUUCCUCAGAAGAUUGGACAUAGUACUACCUGAGGACCCAGCACUACUACUCCUGGGCAUAUACCCAUAAGAUGUUCCAACAUGUAAUAAGGACACAUGCUCCACUAUGUUCAUAGCAGCCUUAUUUAUAAUAACCAGAAGCUGGAAAGAUCCCUCAACAGAGGAAUGGAUACAAAAAAUGUGGUACAUUUACACAAUGGAGUACUACUCAGCUAUAAAAAAAACAAUGAAUUCAUGAAAUUCUUAGGAUAGAUCUGGAGGAUAUCAUCCUGAAUGAGGUAACCCAGUCACAAAAGGACUCCCAUGAUAUGUACUCACUGAUAAGUGGAUAUUAGCCCAGAAGCUCGGAAUACCCAAGAUACAAUUUAUAAACCACGUGAAACUUAAGAAGGAAGAAGACCAAAGUGUGGAUACUUCCAUCCUUCCUAGAAGGGGGAACAAAAUACCCCUGGAAGAAGUUACUGAGACAAAGUGUGGAACAGAGACUGAAAGAAAGAUCAGCCAGGGACUGCUCGACCUUGGUAUCCAUCCCAUAAACCACCACCAAAACCAGACACUAUUGUGGACGCCAACAAAAGCUUGCUGACAGGAGCCUGAUAUAGCUGUCUCCUAAGAGGCUCUGCCAGUGCCUAACAAAUACAGAGGUGGAUGCUCAUGGUAAUCCAUUGGACGGAGCACAGAGUCCUCAAUGAAGGAGCUAGAGAAAGGACCCAAGGAGAUAAAGGGGUUUACAGAUCCAUAGGAAGAACAAUAAUAUGAGCUAACCAGUACCCCCAGAGCUCCCAGGGACUAAACCACCAACCAAAGAGUACACAUGGUGGUACUCAUGGCUCCAGCUACAUAUGCAGCAGAGGAUACCCUAGUUGGUCAUCAAUAGGAGGAGAGGCCCUUGGUCCUGUGAAGGCUCGAUGCCCCAGUGUAGGGGAAUACCAGGGCCAGGAAGUGGGAGUGGGCGGGUUGGUGAGCAGGGGGGGGGGGAAAGAGGGGGUUUUCGGUGGGAGACCAGGAAAGGGGAUAACAUUUGAAAUGUAAAUAAAGAAAAUAUCUAAUAAAAAUUAUUUAUUACCAAAAACAUUAGGGAACAGGGAAAUUCGUGGUGCAAAUGAUCCCACUGACAUAUUCACCCCAAUUCCCUUCUCCCUGUCCAAAUUCAUACAUCAACACUAUCUAGAAACACUUGUCCUUGAUGGACUACAAAAGCCCAUGUUUACCUAUGGAAGCCAGGUUCUUCAGGGUUUCCUGCAUCACAUCUUUGUACAGCUUCUUCUGGGAUGGAUCCAGCACAGCCCACUCCUCCUGUGUGAACUUCACAGCCACAUCCUCAAAGCUCACUGACUCCUAAAAGCACACACAUAUAUUUCCAGGAAAGUAAGACUCGUGGUACCACAGACAUACACAGAAUUAAUAAGAAGGUAACAUAAGGUGACACAAAACUAUGUUCCACAAAGGUUCAAGUUGUCGUGGUCAUCACAGUCUACUGCUCAUACAGACCAAGAUUCAUCAAACACAAAUGCCAAAAGUAACUUGGAGCUUUCUGGGAAAGAAACAUCAAAGUAGGAUGAGCUCUUGUGCAGAUGACAGUGCAGUUGCUCUUCCUGCACUGCAUCUUUCUAACAACUGUCAUCCCAAGUUCUAUUGUCUACUACCCACCAAGGAUCAGUAUCAGCUGUCUUUAGAACGUGCGUGCUUAGAAAUGCUGGACACAACAGUCAUCCUGGUACCUGAGAGCUGAGAUCUGGAGAGGUUCCUUCCCACCAGAGCUAUAAAGAGUGAGGUCGAUUUCUCAGACAGUUGAGAACAACUAUACCACAAGUUUAAAACAACAACAUCCUCUUCUCUCUAGAAUCCUAGCAAUGAUCUCAUGGUCGUCAGAUGGAUGCUAUCUGCUUAGAACCGAACCUAUUCUCUAGAUGGGUCUACCUCAUUUGGGAUGACAGAUACUACCCGCACAUCUUUGUAAAGGCUUGAUUUAGUGUAUAUUGUGCAUGGAGAAUGUGAGCAUGCCACUGUGCUCUGGUAGAAGUCAGCGCCCCCUUGUGGGAGUCGGUUCUCUUGGUCUAGCUUAACAAUGGUUCUGGAGAUCUCAGAUCCUCAGGGUUGCAUAGCACAUGCUUUUAUCCCCUGAGGUAACCUGGCGUGUCUCUAGUUAGUACAUCUUCCUACAACUUGUUAGGAACCUGAAUACAUGUUCUGUGUUGCACUGAAGGCAGAUAUGAGAAAGCAUAUAGCUGGGUUCUUUAGUGCACCCUUAGUCAACCAGCAAACAGGACUCAUGACAAGCAGUUCUUCUCAGUACUGUCCCAUUGUGCUUUCUGUUGCUAUGACAUAUCACCAUGACUGAAUGAAGCUUGGGCAGGAAAGUGUUUAUAUGGACUACAGGCUACAGUCAAUCUCUGAGUGAAGCUAAGGCAGGAAUGUGCAGGCAAGAACUGAAUCCUAGAAUCUGGAUGAACCAUGGGUACUGGCUUGCUUCCACUGGCUUGUUGGGCUAUCCUGUUUGUACAAGCCAAGGCUCACAUGUCCUGGGAUGUCAACACCCACAGUGGAGUAGGCCCUCCUUCAUCAACUAGCAAUCAAGAUGUUCUGAAGACACAUGCAUUGGCCAAUUUGCUGGAGCCGACUCCUCAAGUGAGAUUCCCAUUUCCCAGUUGGGCCAAGUUGACAACUUACUGAGUCAUCUCACUGGUCCAUCACACAACUUUUACUUGAGAAUGUAGCUGGAUAUUGAAGGAGACACAUACUCCUGGAGUUCUAAUUUACCACAUGUCAACUCUGUCAUUUUUUUUAAAAAUGUAUUUUAAAA